rnacentral:rRNA from 1 species
AAGAAGGCUGUCGCUGGCUUGUACGUUCGAGCAUGUGCACGUCCCUCCGAGUCGCUCACUUCUCUCGUCGACCUUUCUUUUUUCAUUCUCGCUUCACACCUGUGCACCCACCGUAGGCUUUCGCCAGAAAGUCUAUGUCUUUUUGACAUCACAACCCGUCGUAUGUCUAGAAGGAUUUAUGUCGAACGACGCCUCCCUCUCGCAAGAGGGGAGUCGGUGCUCUCGACGAAACGGAAUUUACAACUUUCAGCAACGGAUCUCUUGGCUCUCGCAUCGAUGAAGAACGCAGCGAAUUGCGAUAAGUAAUGUGAAUUGCAGAUUUCCAGUGAAUCAUCGAAUCUUUGAACGCACCUUGCGCUCCUUGGUAUUCCGAGGAGCAUGCCUGUUUGAGUGUCAUCGAAUUCUCAAUCAUGUCGUGUGUGCAUGAGCAUGGACAUGACUUGGAGUUGGGGGAUUGCUGGUUGGCCCACGAGGCAGUCGGCUCUCCUUGAAUGCAUUAGCGAACGGUGCUGGUCUCGAAGACGGGUGCACGGCCUUUGACGUGAUAAUGAUCAUCGUCAUCGCUGGAGCGUCUCACUUGGGACCAUGCAUGCCGGAUCGCUUCGAACCCGGAAAAAGGAGGGGGGAUGAAGGCGCUUUUUCCUGCCAACGGUCUGAAGUGAAGCAGAGUCAAGCUUAGCUUAUUAGCUUGCUUUCGAGCGAGCGAACGCGGCGAGACAAGACUUCCGUCAGACCGUCUGGUCACAAGCACACUCUCACUCUCACUCUCACUGCUUGAAAAGGGCGACGACGAGGACGAGGACGAAGACAGUGUGGGGUAGACCUUCUGCAGACUGCUGGUCUAGGAUGGGCAGAGUGUGGAGCCUAGCUAUUAGCUUGCGCGAGCAAGCGAACGUGGGCAAGACAUCGUCACGAUCAGACUGGUGGUUCAAAGGUCGCUCGAAGUCGGAGUUCUAGGUCUGUAGUGUGUCGUCCUUCUCAAUCCAAAGGUCGACCUCAAAUCAGGCAGGACUACCCGCCGAACUUAAGCAUAUCAAUAAGCGGAGGAAAAGAAACUAACAAGGAUUCCCCUAGUAACUGC